CCCCGGACCAGUAAAGCCCGGGGAAUGGGAGACCCAAGAUGGGAACUUCCGGGAAAGAGGGUCGUGGUUGCUGGCUUCUACGGAAGAGGAGCCAGAGGCUCAGCUGGGCAGAAAGCAGGGAUGGGUCCUGCGAAUCUGAGGAAAGUAAAGCCUGAGAGAAGAGGAUUUGAGCCCCAGCUCUCCCAAGUGACUGUGACCAGGUCACCCCCCCAUGCUGCCCAAAUGGAGAACUCCGAGGACACCAGCCCAAGGCAGGGGAGCAAGAGGCUCUGCAGCCCCUUCACUUCUCUCAUUAGGAUCGAGGCCCAGGGCUUUCCAGCCGCUUUGGAAGAGGCAGCCUGGCAUCCUCGACCCUCUGCGAUCAUCCUCCCUGCGUCUGUGGCCCGUUCCCCACCCCAGCCUAGACUCCGGCUCCUCGCUCGUCUCCAAACGCCCCCUCCCUCUCGGCUGCACCUGUUCGCUCAUCCCACGUCCGUCCCGCGUCCAUCCCGCGUCCGUCCCGCGCGUCUCCCCAUCUGCUCGGAGUGCCCGCCGCCCUUCUCUGGCUGCUGCCUCUCUUCCCACUUCAUCCUCAGCCUGUCUCCUUCCUCACUUAGGAGACGCUGUGUUUCACCUCGACUCUCAGUUAUUUGUGCCCACGUGAUAGGAGUCAGAGGGCCUGGUUCGCACCCCUGCUCCCAACAGCCCUGAACGUGGGCGCACAGUCCUUAAGCUCCCGAAGCCUCCCUGCCUCAUUCCUGAACUAAGGUACCCGCCAGAUAGAGGGGCCACGCACCUGUGCUGGCGAGCCUGCGCGGCGCCCUCGUCUAAUCACCAGCAGCGCCCCCUGCACUCCCAGAGGGGCCCAGUCUGUAUGCACGUCACACGCUCACCGCCCGCCCUGCUUAUGAGGACUGCGUGAGAUGCUCGGUGACACGGCCCACGAGGAGCUCCUCCGCGGAGCCCUGGCGCCCAGGGCCUAGUCCUCGGUCACCUGUCCCUCCUGGCACCCUGAGUUCCUCGAGGGGGACACAUCCCCGAUUCAGCGUCGCUGCCACGUGAGCAGCCACUUACCCAAGAGCUUAGAGGACAAUCAAGUGCAGUGUGUGCUGAAAUGAUGUGGAGGGGGACUCUGGAGGGGGACUCUGGCUUUCGUGGCUCACAAGCCCAUCAGCAGGGGCGUUACUCCCCACCCUUUGUGGCUGGGCUGGGCUGGGCCGGGCCGGCGGCAGCGCAGAGCCACACUCUGUGCGCCUACUACGUGUGAAGCUUUGUUCCUGCCACGGAAUCCCCGCUCCAGCCGAGAGGUGGCCGGUGCCCAAGGGCUGUGGCCCUCGCGGAGCAGCUCCGGCCCAGGGCCUGCGGAACAGGGCCCGGCAGUGGUGGCGGAGGGACGGACGAGGUUGCAGGGAGGAGGUGAGAGGCGGCCGGGAGUGGGUGCCGUAAAAGCCACGGCAGCCUGGGAUCCCUGGGUGGCCCAGGGGUGAGCACCUGCCUUGGGCUCAGGGCAUGAUCCCAGGGUCCCGGGAUCGAGUCCCACGUCGGGCUCCCUGCAUGGAGUCUGCUUCUCCCUCUGCCUGGGUCUCUGCCUCUCUCUCUGUGUCUCUCGUGAAUAAAUAAAUAAAAUCUUAAGGGGGGAUAAAAAAA
rnacentral:lncRNA from 12 species